AAGUCGUAACAAGGUUUCCGUAGGUGAACCUGCUCCAACGUUAAACAACCCUGUGAACUUUCAACGCUCUUGUAGCCCCAGAGGAACAGCAAUCCCGGUAAAUCAAUGGCGGAAAAGUUUUGAUUCGGGACCUCUGUCCAAAAGGUAUCAAGUUACAAUCGAGCAGAGCAGUGGCAUGGUUUCCCUAAGCAGUGCAGAAGGAUCCACUGAGUAAGGAUAACGCAUCACGGUUGCCAGAGGUCGAUCACCGGCCGGCAGACAUGUCACAGGGCGCGCGCGCCCCCUCAUUCACCCCUUGCCCUCUCAAGCCUCGCGGAAACGCCGGGCAUAAAAACCGAACAACUGUUAACAAUGGAUAUCUUGGUUCUC
rnacentral:misc_RNA from 1 species